CCAUCAACAUAAAUUAAAUCAGCCACAACAUGAAAAAUAUUUAAGUAAUUACCAAAAUGUUUUUUAAAAUGCCAAAUUCAGCCGUAACGUCAAUAAGUCAGCCGUAACGUAAAAUAAGUCAGCCGUAACUGGAGGCUAUAUUAGCAAUAAAUCUUUUGUCUAUAACUCAGCCGUAACAUGGUUGAGUUUUCCGUUAAGUAAGCGAAUUACGACUGAGUUAUGUCUCUGAAACAUAAGUCAGCCGUAACGACAUUUGAUAACUCAGCCGUUGUCGAUAACUCAGCCAACCGGAGAAAGUUAAGUCAGCCGUGUCGAUAACAUAACUCAGCCAAACUUCUGAUAACUCAACCAUCGGACUAUAACUCAGCCGUAAC
rnacentral:lncRNA from 1 species